GAACAAACCAACCCUANGAGGCUGCUGCACAUCCAGGUUUUUCUGAUCCAACAUCGAGGUCGCAAGCUCCCUUGUCAAUGUGUACUCUCAAAGAGAAUUACGCUGUUAUCCCUAAGGUAACUUUUUCUUUUGAUCAAAAAGUUUUGGAUCUUGUCAUUUGUUUUAAUACAUUUUGAUUAUCCCCUGCUUUAAAAAAGGGGAGGNUGCCCCAACCAAACCUACUAAUUCAAAAUUUAAAAUAGUAUAGGUAAAGCUCUAUAGGGUCUUNUCGUCCCACUGUAUAAUUAANGUCUCUUCACCUUAAGGUUAAUUUCAAAUUAUAUAAGAGGAGACAGCUUCUCUGUCGUNUAGCCGUUGAUACUAGCCUGCAAUUAACAGGCGAAUGAUUAUGCUACCUUUGCACAGUCAGUAAUACUGCAGCCGUUUAACUAUUGUCACCGGGCAGGCAGAACCUUUAAUCUUCUUUCUAAAAGCGAUGUUUUUGNUAAAC
rnacentral:rRNA from 1 species